GAGAAAGUGGGAGGAAAUAGUGGGAAGAAAAAUUAGAAGGUUUGUGUUGCUUCUAUUACAGGAGAGAAUAAGUUGUUGUUCUCCUUAUUAAUAGAAAACUUGCACUUUUGUUGUGACCCUGCUCUACCCAGUUCUAUAAUUUCACAAUACUCUAUUGGUAUGGUGCAUGUGUUGAUAAGAUUGCCAAGACAUUGAAAGAAAAUACUCCCGAGAAUAACCAAAUGGGUGCCCCUAAAAUUCAAAAGGACUUGGUGCAUUCUUGUGCUAAAAAGUAAGAUCACUCAUUAUUGAAGAUAUUGGUAAUCGGAUUUUCUCACUUAUGGUUGAUAAAGAUAGAGACAUUUCAGUGAAGGAACAAAUGGCUAUUGUUUUGAGAUAUGUUGAUACUCAUGGAUAAGUGAUUGAGAGAUAUUUUUGCAUAAAUAUGUGACAGACACUUCAUCCCACACUUUGAAAGAGGUCAUUGAUAAUUUGUUUGCAAAAUAUGUAUUGUCCUUAUCAAGGUUAUGAGGUCAAGGUUAUGAUGGAGCUUCUAAUAUGUGAGGAGAAUUUAAUGGUCUAAAGUCACUUAUAUUGAAGGAUAAUCCAUAUGCAAGUUAUGUGAUCAAGAUUGUCAAUUUGGUUGGAGCAUCAUGUAAAAAGAAAUAUGCACUUCGACAAAGCCAACAUGAAAACAUAGUUCCACGUAUAGAGAAAGGUGUAAUUUCUACUGGCAGAUCCUGUAAUCAAGAGACAAGCCUUGCAAGACCUGGAGACACACGUUCGGGAUCUCAUUAUUAUAUAAUACUUCGUCUUCUAAUGAUGUGGGCAGCGGUAACAAAUGUUGUUGGAAAUGUUCAUGAUUAUGGAACUAAUCUUGGCUAACAAGGUGUGGCUUUGGGCUUG